rnacentral:lncRNA from 1 species
UUGGUUUGUGUCUAUCUGAUAUAUGUGGAAGUAGAGGCCUUGUAUAAUAAAAUCAUGCAAUAGCAGUAGCAGCAGCAACUGUAUUCUAAUGGUUUGUAUGGUUUAUUAUGAAAUUUAUUAAGACUAGAAAUGCAUGUCACUUGCCUUUAAUAUUUACUAAUUGUCAAUUGCCUUGUAAUUCAAUUAUGAAGUUGUUGAUCAAGGGUCACGAGAAAGAUUUUACUUUCUUAAAAAUAUCCAGUUUCUUGUUUCUAAGAAAUUAUAAAAACAAACCUACAAUUAGC